rnacentral:rRNA from 1 species
GACGAACGCUGGCGGCGUGCUUAACACAUGCAAGUCGAACGAUGAAGCUGGAGCUUGCUCCGGUGGAUUAGUGGCGAACGGGUGAGUAACACGUGAGUAAUCUGCCCUUGACUCUGGGAUAACUGCGGGAUACUGUAGCUAAUACCGGAUACGACACCUUCGGGCAUCCGACGGGUGUGGAAAGAAUUUCGGUCAAGGAUGAACUCGCGGCCUAUCAGCUAGUUGGUGAGGUAAUGGCUCACCAAGGCGACGACGGGUAGCCGGCCUGAGAGGGUGACCGGCCACACUGGGACUGAGACACGGCCCAGACUCCUACGGGAGGCAGCAGUGGGGAAUAUUGCACAAUGGGCGAAAGCCUGAUGCAGCAACGCCGCGUGAGGGAUGAAGGCCUUCGGGUUGUAAACCUCUUUUAGUAGGGAAGAAGCGAAAGUGACGGUACCAACAGAAAAAGCACCGGCUAACUACGUGCCAGCCGCCGCGGUAA